rnacentral:rRNA from 1 species
CAGAGGGUGCAAGCGUUAAUCGGAAUUACUGGGCGUAAAGCGUGCGUAGACGGUUAUGUAAGUCAGAUGUGAAAGCCCCGGGCUUAACCUGGGAAUGGCAUUUGAGACUGCAUAGCUAGGGUGCGGAAGAGGGAAGCGGAAUUUCCGGUGUAGCGGUGAAAUGCGUAGAUAUCGGAAGGAACACCAGUGGCGAAAGCGGCUUCCUGGUCCAGCACCGACGUUCAGGCACGAAAGCGUGGGGAGCAAACAGGAUUAGAUACCCUGGUAGUCCACGCCAUAAACGAUGAGAACUAGACGUUGAGAGGGUAAGCCUCCCAGUGUCGCAGCUAACGCGAUAAGUUCUCCGCCUGGGGAGUACGGCCGCAAGGUUG